rfam:Heterocephalus glaber contig208604, whole genome shotgun sequence.
AGGGGUGUAGCUCAGUGGUAGAGCCCUUGCCUAGCAUGUAAGAGGCCCUGGGUCCAAUCCCUAGCACCACUA